GCAGUCGACGAUGAAUCUUCUAGCUUGCUAGAAGUGGAUUAGUGGCGCACGGGUGAGUAAUGCAUAGGUUAUGUGCCCUUUAGUCUGGGAUAGCCACUGGAAACGGUGAUUAAUACUGGAUACUCCCUACGGGGGAAAGUUUUUCGCUAAAGGAUCAGCCUAUGUCCUAUCAGCUUGUUGGUGAGGUAAUGGCUCACCAAGGCUAUGACGGGUAUCCGGCCUGAGAGGGUGAUCGGACACACUGGAACUGAGACACGGUCCAGACUCCUACGGGAGGCAGCAGUAGGGAAUAUUGCUCAAUGGGGGAAACCCUGAAGCAGCAACGCCGCGUGGAGGAUGAAGGUUUUAGGAUUGUAAACUCCUUUUGUUAGAGAAGAUUAUGACGGUAUCUAACGAAUAAGCACCGGCUAACUCCGUGCCAGCAGCCGCGGUAAUACGGAGGGUGCAAGCGUUACUCGGAAUCACUGGGCGUAAAGAGUGCGUAGGCGGGGUAAUAAGUCAGAUGUGAAAUCCUGUAGCUUAACUACAGAACUGCAUUUGAAACUGUUACUCUGGAGUGUGGGAGAGGUAGGUGGAAUUCUUGGUGUAGGGGUAAAAUCCGUAGAGAUCAAGAGGAAUACUCAUUGCGAAGGCGACCUGCUGGAACAUUACUGACGCUGAUGCACGAAAGCGUGGGGAGCAAACAGGAUUAGAUACCCUGGUAGUCACGCCCUAAACGAUGGAUGCUAGUUGUUGCCUUGCUUGUCAGGGCAGUAAUGCAGCUAACGCAUUAAGCAUCCCGCCUGGGGAGUACGGUCGCAAGAUUAAAACUCAAAGGAAUAGACGGGGACCCGCACAAGCGGUGGAGCAUGUGGUUUAAUUCGAAGAUACGCGAAGAACCUUACCUAGGCUUGACAUUGAU
rnacentral:rRNA from 1 species